UGAGAAAGAAAUUUAAUAUCAGGGUGAGCAUUUCUGUCUUAUUGUGUUUGAUUGUUCACUGAUCUUAUUGUUGUAUUUCUGAUUUGUGAAGAUUCACGUUUUGAAAUUACAUUCCUGUCUUUCACAAUGCUUUAUUUAUAUUACUUGCAUUUUCUUUGCACAAAUUCCUUUUGCUUUGCUGUCAUUUAUACUCGAGUUGGAAACUUAGAAUUUAACUUAAAUUUGCUUUUCUGAUCUGCUUGCAUUUAAUUUUGUUCUAAUUAUCUCCAGUUAAGUUUUAAGAUGGAAGCACAUUAUCUUAUUAUUUCUAGUUUUCUUGCAUCCUGUCAUACCUAAUCGGAGGACAUUUUGACAUCUAUUUUUUGUUCAAUAACCUUUGUGCUUUGUUUGAAUGUCUUGUAUCUGAACCACAUCUAUUUUAGUUUGACCUCUCAAGAAUCUAACAUCUUGUCUACAUCGCAGUAAAUGCUAAUAUAGAGAGGAACUGAUUAAGUUUGAUUUUAAUCGCAGAGAGAUUAUUGGAGAAUUUUGUUUCUUUCCUUUUUCUCUACCUUUCUCUUUCUUUCCUUUUCUCUACCUUUUUCUUUGGUGGGGUGGCAUAUUGGCUUUUCUAUUUGUGCAUUUUCCAGUGCUCUUGAUUAUUGUGAUUAAGCCUGUCCAGUGUCCUGAGUUUCUUUUUCUCUCUGGCAAAUAUAUGCAGUAGUUAAACUAAUAAGGAAACCUUUUUUGUUAAUUUAUUUUCAGGGUAGCUAUAGUUCCUUGGAUGA
rnacentral:misc_RNA from 1 species